ensembl:snRNA U5 U5 spliceosomal RNA
UAGUUCGGGUUUCUCUUCAUUUACGCGUAAAUCUUUUGCCUUUUACUAAAGAUUUCCGUGGAGCGGAACGUUGACGAGUCCAGCUUAUUCUUGUUGGCUUUACUGUGGCAAAGCU